UACAGAGGGUGCGAGCGUUAAUCGGAAUUACUGGGCGUAAAGCGUGCGUAGACGGUAGCGUAAGUCAGAUGUGAAAGCCCCGGGCUCAACCUGGGAACUGCAUUUGAGACUGCUCUGCUCGGGUGCGGAAGAGGGAAGCGGAAUUUCCGGUGUAGCGGUGAAAUGCGUAGAUAUCGGAAGGAACACCAGUGGCGAAAGCGGCUUCCUGGUCCGACACCGACAUUCAGGCACGAAAGCGUGGGGAGCAAACAGG
rnacentral:rRNA from 1 species